CUUUCUUCUGAAAAGGUAGAAGUUAUGAAAGGCAAAGUACCAAGAGGCUAUCCGCUGCUCCCUGUUUGACAGACAGCGGCAUCUUCUCACGCAGUGCCAGCUGUGUCCCUGAGACAUGAUGGUGAAGGUUGGAGAAAAUGGAUUUGGCUGUAUUGGGCACCUGGUCUCCCAACACCAGCAAAGAAUCAGAUCUUGCCAACAUCAAAUGGGGGCGACAUUGAUGUUGAAUGUGUUGUUGAGUCUGCUGGGGGUUCAUUGGAAGGGUGGAGUCAAAGGAUCACAGUUUCUGCUUCUUCUGCUGAUGCCCGCGAGUCUGUGACGGUUGAGACCACAAAACGUCCAACUCCAGUAAGAUUGUCGGUAAAGCCUGCUCUGCCACUGUUGAGCACCUCUGGCUAAGGCAUGACAACUUUGGCAUCAUGGAGGGCCUCAUGACCGCUGGCCCUCUAGUAAACUGUGGCAUGACGGUCAUGGGACUGAUCAGCAUAUUAUUGUCAGUGCAUCCACUGAAGCUGCCAAGGCUGUAAGGUCAUCCUUGAGGUGAACGGGAAGUUGGCUGCCAUGAUCUUCCAUGUGCCUGACUCCCGUGUGUCUGUCAUGGAUCUGACCAACUGCUUGGAGAAGGCUGCCAAAUAUGUCCUCAAGAAGAUGGUGAAUUGGGUGUUGGAGGCCCCCUAAGGACAUCCUGGGCUACACCAAGGACUGGGUUGUCUCCUGCAACUUUAUGUGACAUCCACUCUUCCACCUUUGAUAUUGGGGCUAAAGGUACCUCUCAUACUAGUCUAGCAAAGUUCUUGGGUUAGCCCUGUUCAAAAUGUCCUAUUGCUAAAACAACAACAAUAAAAAACCUGCUUGAAAGAGAGAUGGUAGCUCCUGAGAAUGUGCACUGCUCAUGUGCCUAUAGUUGACGUUGUAUUCUGUCAGUGUUGCUUCCCAGUGCUACCUAAUGGCCAGCUCUAAUUAUUCGGACCAGCAUCUAGAACACCGACUGGCACAUACUAGGGAGCUCUAAAGAAAUGCUUGUUGAAUGAAUGCAUAAACAAAAUUUGAGCAAUUUAUUAGGCGUUGGGCACUGUAAUAAUUUUUAACACUCAAUUAAAUCUUCAUUUAACCCCCAAACC
rnacentral:lncRNA from 1 species